AUGGCAUAAGAUAGGCGUUUGUCCGAUUAGUUAGUUGGGAAGGUAAUGGCUUACCAAGACAAUGAUCGGUAGGGGGCCUGAGAGGGCGUACCCCCACAUUGGUACUGAGACACGGACCAAACUUCUACGGAAGGCAGCAGUGAGGAAUAUUGGUCAAUGGAGGCAACUCUGAACCAGCCACUCCGCGUGUAGGAAGAAGGCAAUUUAGGUUGUAAACUACUUUUGUAUAUGAAUAAAAAAUUCUAUUUUUAGAAAAAUUGAAGGUAAUAUACGAAUAAGUAUCGGCCAACUCUGUGCCAGCAGCCGCGGUAAAACAGAGGAUACAAGCGUUAUCCGGAUUUAUUGGGUUUAAAGGGUGCGUAGGUUGUUUUUUAAGUCAGUAGUGAAAUCUUAAAGCUUAACUUUAAAAGUGCUAUUGAUACUGAUAAACUAGAGUGAGGUUGGAGUAACUGGAAUGUGUGGUGGAGCGGUGAAAUGCAUAGAGAUCACACAGAACACCGAUCGCGCAAGCAGAUUACUAAACCUAGACUGACACUGAGGCACGAAAGCAUGGGUAGCAAACAGGAUUAGAUACCCUGGUAGUCCAUGCCGUAAACGAUGAUCACUAACUAUUGGAGAAUAAUUCAGUGGUCAAGCGAAAGUGAUAAGUGAUCCACCUGAGGAGUACGACCGCAAGGUUGAAACUCAAAGGAAUUGACGGGGGCCCGCACAAUCGGUGGAGCAUGUGGUUUAAUUCGAUGAUACGCGAGGAACCUUACCAAAACUUAAAUGUAUUACGAAUAAAUUGGAAACAAUUUAGUCAUUAGACGGAGUACAAGGUGCUGCAUGGUUGUCGUCAGCUCGUGCCGUGAGGUGUGAGGUUAAGUCCUUAAACGAGCGCAACCC
rnacentral:rRNA from 1 species